rnacentral:lncRNA from 1 species
AACGCCUAAACAGAGCCUGCGGUGAAAGUUCCAACAGACACUGAGCUGGUAUUUUAAGACGAGUGGGAAAUCAAAGACUGGAAUGCUGGGGAAACUGACAAAGGGGUGAGCUCUGGAAAGGAGGACAGAUACUUCCUGUUCCUGCUGGAGUGACCCGCAGGUCUGAGGAGGAGUGAGGGAGAGGAAGGCAGAGAAAGCGAUUUUGGUGA